rnacentral:lncRNA from 1 species
CUGGCACCCAAUUUAUAGUAGUCUCCAAAUAUCCAUUUGUCAUAAAACUUGAUUCUGCAUGUCAAAUACAUAAUUUACUUCAUUAAACAUUACAUAUAUAAUUGUACUUUAGAAAAGUUUGUCAGGUUCUAGGGUAAACUACUAUAAUUUUUUUUUUAAGAGAUAGACACCGACACAAAUAAACUGGUUUAUAACUUAUGACUUAUAAACUCAUAUUAUUAAAAAGUCACCAAAAACUUAUAGUUUAUUUUAUGAUCUUACUAUUCAAAUCUAUUUCAAUUAGAUUUUAUACUUAUAGCUUAUUGUUUUUUCUUUCAAUUUAUCCUGAUUAUUAUUUCAUCUAAAAUCAAAUCCACCCUUUAUAAUUUAUUAAAUUUAUUAAAUAAAUGUAGGCAUAUGAAUGAUAAUAUAUACUAGUACUACUAUUAUAUGAUUAAGGCUAAAUUGUACUUUUACGAUAAACAUCUCGACGUCACGUGUGAAUCAUUUGUCACAUGUGUGUUAACUUGGUCAAAAUUGGUGGGGUAUCCUUUUGCAAAUAGGCUAAAGUUAGAGGUCAAAAUCACAAGUUUGUGAAAGUUAAGGAACCAAAAGUACUAUUAUGAAAGCUAAGGAUGCAAAAUUGCAAGUUUGUGAAAGUUAGAAGGACAAAAAUGCAAUACAACUUAUAAUCAAGAGUUAAGUUUGAGAAUGAUCCUCUCUGGUGCCAAUUUGAGUAGGCUAAUUUAGUUUUUUCAAAAAAAAAAGUUUGAGAAUGAUCCUAUUUUGUACCCUAGUAGUACUAUUAUAAUAUUAAUGUACACCAUAAGUUAUCGGUGAUAAGCUAUAAACU